rnacentral:rRNA from 1 species
UAAUACGGAGGUUCCAAGCGUUGUUCGGAAUUACUGGGCGUAAAGGGAGCGCAGGCGGACAGGUCAGUUUAAAGUGGAAUCCCAGGGCUCAACCCUGGACGUGCUUUGGAUACUGCCUGUCUUGAGUUCGUGAGAGGAAAGUGGAAUUCAGGGUGUAGCGGUGAAAUGCUUAGAUAUCCUGAGGAACACCAGUGGCGAAAGCGACUUUCUGGCACGAAACUGACGCUGAGGCUCGAAAGCAUGGGUAGCGAACGGGAUUAGAUACCCCGGUAGUCCAUGCCGUAAACGUUGUAUACUAGGUGCGGGAGGUAUCGACCCCUUCCGUGCCGAAGCUAACGCAUUAAGUAUACCGCCUGGGGAGUACGCGCGCAAGCGUG